rnacentral:lncRNA from 1 species
GUCAUUCUCGCUUGUUCAUAUAUAAUGAACUUCCAAUUUUUUUAUAUAGAAGAAAAUUGUAAGUUAUAAAAUAUAUAAAUAUCCUACAAAAUAAUUUUAUAUAGAUAAAACCAGUAAAUUAUAUUUUGUGUGGGGGAAAAUGGGACAGUCGUAGACAGCAUAAUUAUUACAUAUAAAAUGCAAGGAAAUUAUGGAGCGACUAUGAAACUAGCAUUUAAAAAACAUUUCGUACAGGAAAAUGCAUACGUUUUCACUAGUUCCAAACUGAAUUUCAUAUUAAAACAGCACUUAAAUGAAAAAUUGCUUUAAAUUUUUAUUUUAGUAACACACCUUGAUUUUCAAUUUUUUUUUUUUUUUUUUUUUAAUUUUAAAUACAGAAUAAUGUUAAUUUAACCAAUUAAAUUUGGAUAAGAGUUUGGUAUUUAAAAAAGCGGUUAAAUGAAUAAUUUUUUAUACAUAGAAAAGUAUCAACAAUGGCUUUACUUAGAAUGCAGACGGAUUUUAACCCAUCGCUUAUGCAACAGAAAAUCGAAGAGAGAGUAACUCGUCCGACGAGAGGUCGUCCAUCUGCUAUCUUACCAGACAAGUCGUCAUGUUAUGACUGCAACCUCUCAUUGGACAAUCUACACUCACUCACUCCUGUUACCAUGGUUACAUGUAUGAUGAGCAGUAGACUGAGCACGCCUACUGUUUUUUAUCCGUCUCAACUGACAAACAAUACGACAGAUCGCCCGAUUGGUCAGAUUUGAAAAAGCCAUCAUGGCCGCCGGCACCAACUCUUUCUACUGGGCAUGCUCGAACGGCUUACGGUGGCGUUUUACCCUUCUAACCGUAUUUUAAGAAUUUUUUUUUUCUUUUACCCAUUCUCUUCGUCUCUUGUUAUGUGGUUUGUCUAUUGAUCUGACACACUAUGUGCUUGUUAGUAUACAACUUAAUGUGGAAUUUGUGCAAUCAUUCACGUUACUACUAUUACUAAGAAGAAUGUUUACGUCUAUCGUUGCUGAGGUAGUCUGUAUGAUAAUUUUCUGGAGAUAAUAAUCGAUACUAUUCGCGCUUUUUAUUGAUAGUUUAUACAAAUUUAAACUGUCAAUAAACACUGUGUGUAUGUAUUUUUAUUUCAGUUAGCAUUAUAACGUGAAUUUAUAUUCUUAAAAUAC